rnacentral:rRNA from 1 species
GACGAGUGGCGGACGGGUGAGUAAUGUCUGGGAAACUGCCUGAUGGAGGGGGAUAACUACUGGAAACGGUGGCUAAUACCGCAUAACGUCGCAAGACCAAAGAGGGGGACCUUCGGGCCUCUUGCCAUCAGAUGUGCCCAGAUGGGAUUAGCUAGUUGGUGAGGUAACGGCUCACCAAGGCGACGAUCCCUAGCUGGUCUGAGAGGAUGACCAGCCACACUGGAACUGAGACACGGUCCAGACUCCUACGGGAGGCAGCAGUGGGGAAUAUUGCACAAUGGGCGCAAGCCUGAUGCAGCCAUGCCGCGUGUAUGAAGAAGGCCUUCGGGUUGUAAAGUACUUUCAGCGGGGAGGAAGGUGUUGUGGUUAAUAACCGCAGCAAUUGACGUUACCCGCAGAAGAAGCACCGGCUAACUCCGUGCCAGCAGCCGCGGUAAUACGGAGGGUGCAAGCGUUAAUCGGAAUUACUGGGCGUAAAGCGCACGCAGGCGGUCUGUCAAGUCGGAUGUGAAAUCCCCGGGCUCAACCUGGGAACUGCAUUCGAAACUGGCAGGCUUGAGUCUU